rnacentral:rRNA from 2 species
AAUCCAGAGAUGGAUUUGUGCCUUCGGGAACUGUGAGACAGGUGCUGCAUGGCUGUCGUCAGCUCGUGUUGUGAAAUGUUGGGUUAAGUCCCGCAACGAGCGCAACCCUUAUCCUUUGUUGCCAGCGGUUAGGCCGGGAACUCAAAGGAGACUGCCAGUGAUAAACUGGAGGAAGGUGGGGAUGACGUCAAGUCAUCAUGGCCCUUACGACCAGGGCUACACACGUGCUACAAUGGCGCAUACAAAGAGAAGCGACCUCGCGAGAGCAAGCGGACCUCAUAAAGUGCGUCGUAGUCCGGAUUGGAGUCUGCAACUCGACUCCAUGAAGUCGGAAUCGCUAGUAAUCGUGGAUCAGAAUGCCACGGUGAAUACGUUCCCGGGCCUUGUACACACCGCCCGUCACACCAUGGGAGUGGGGUGCAAAAGAAGUAGGUAGCUUAACCUUCGGGAGGGCGCUUACCACUUUGUGAUUCAUGACUGGGGUGAAGUCGUAACAAGGUAACCGUAGGGGAACCUGCGGUUGGAUCACCUCCUUA